UUUGUUUUCUUUUUCUCCUUUCUUCUUUGUAUUUUUUCUUAGUAUCCCAGUGACUUCAGCAAAAGAUUUUCUCUUUUUUUUUUUUAUGGUGUCCCAAGAUAAAUCGGGGACAAUUUUUAACUCUGUAAAUUCUGGUUUUGUCCAUUGUUUUCCUGUUUCUUUGUACCGCUUGCUCUUUAACAUUAAUCAGCUUUUCCAACUGCAUCAAUCACCAGCCUUUGCAAUCAUUACUGGAUUGAUGGGCAGCUACCUGCAUUGUCUGGUCAGCCUCCCUUUAUCUUUCUUAUUCC